UCUACUUGAGUUGUAGCUGUGAUUAUAUACUUAUUCAAUAUUCAUUUUUUGUGAUUCAAUUGGUUUUUCAGUUAAUUAAAGUGAUAGAUGGAUUUGAAGUUUUAGGUUUUAUGAUGAUUUGAUGCUAGCUGUUUCUGAUUUGAAUGUAGUAGAUUAGAUCCGAAUUUUUACAUACCUAAACUUUAUUCGUCUCCUAUAGCAGGUGAAAUCAAGGAGGCAGUUGAGUAUCCUUUAACUCACCCUGAGUUAUAUGAAGACAUCGGUAUUAAACCUCCAAAGGGCGUUAUACUUUACGGAGAACCGGGAACAUGCAAGACAUUGCUUGCAAAGGCUAUGGCAAACUCCACAUCAGCAACGUUCUUACGUGUUGUUGGAAGUGAGUUGAUUCAAAAGUAUCUUGGGGAUGGUCCUAAGCUGGUCAGAGAACUCUUUAGGUCGUUUGAACGGUCUUAAAGAGACCCAAACAACAUUUGAGCCGUAAAGCAAACACCAUUCAGAGUUGUCUGCACGCAAAUGGUGUUUUUACUACUAACGAGCUUGUAAUUAUUGU